UACGAAGGGGGCUAGCGUUGUUCGGAUUUACUGGGCGUAAAGCGCACGUAGGCGGAUUGUUAAGUCAGGGGUGAAAUCCUGGAGCUCAACUCCAGAACUGCCUUUGAUACUGGCAAUCUUGAGUCCGGAAGAGGUGAGUGGAACUCCUAGUGUAGAGGUGGAAUUCGUAGAUAUUAGGAAGAACACCGGUGGCGAAGGCGGCCCACUGGAUCGGUACUGACGCUGAGGUGCGAAAGCCAGGGGAGCGAACGGG
rnacentral:rRNA from 1 species